rnacentral:rRNA from 1 species
GCACAAGCAGUGGAGUAUGUGGAUUAAUUCGACGCAACGCGAAGAACCUUACCAGGUCUUGACAUCCUACUAACGAGGCAGAGAUGCAUUAGGUGCCCUUCGGGGAAAGUAGAGACAGGUGGUGCAUGGUUGUCGUCAGCUCGUGUCGUGAGAUGUUGGGUUAAGUCCCGCAACGAGCGCAACCCUUACUGUUAGUUGCUACGCAAGAGCACUCUAGUAGGACUGCCGUUGACAAAACGGAGGAAG